AUCCCCAUGCAGCACAUAAACGCUCCCCACGUCCUUGUCUGACCCUGAGCUGAUGACACAGCGUGUGGGGAAGACUCCCAGGGUACCAGCAGAAAUGGAUGGCUGAAGACUGAGAACACUGAGCAGAGACCGCGGCUGCUGCUCACCACCUGGAAGUCUGGAGUUGGAACCCUCACAAGUUAGAGGCUUAAAAACACCAUGGGCUUCCCAGCAACAUCCAGAAAAACCACACCUUCGCAGAUCCAAGACUAAGGAUGUGUCAGGCAGAAGAAAAAGCCAGACAGACCUGCCCUAACAGCAUCAACACUGAGCCUCUUCAGGGUGAUCCGUAAGAAUUCAGCCUGCGAGAACAAAGCCCAACACUCUUCAGGGGAAGACAACAGAAUUCAACAGAAUUCAGAGUCUCUACCAUAUAAACUCUACCAUAUAAACAGUAUAUAAACUAAAAUUCCACCAGACAAUGAGGAAGUACUGGACGUGUGAAGAAGGGAUAACAGGAUCCAUGCUGAUGGGAAAACGUAGCCAAAAGAAGUAGAUCCUGAGGCUGGGCACAGUGGCUCACACCUGUAAUCUCAGGCGGGCAGAUCACGAGUAAAAGGAAGCUGCAGAAAACAUGGGCACGACGCCCUGUGAGCCUCCUACCACGCACAGGAGCUGCCUUCUGAAGAACGUGCCAGAAGCUGGGAGGGCUUUGUGACAGCAGAUGGACGGAGCUUGGUUCCCAGAAGGGGCUGAGCAUUCGCCCUGCCAGUCGCCGAUACUCAGAGACUCAAUAGAUGAUGUUCUCCAAACUUCAUAAAACAUAAGCACAUUUCACUACAGGAAGACAAAGGAUGAAUAAUGCCUAGAAAAGAUACCGAAUGUCUAUUCCAGCUGUGGAGAGACCAAGACCUGCCACUGGGGAGUGUCUACCCUCAAGAGG
rnacentral:antisense_RNA from 1 species